UAGCUCAGGUUUCUCUUCAGUCACGCAUAAAUUUUUAGCCUUUUGCUAAAGAUUUCCGUGGAGAGAAACGUUGAGUUCAGAUCCCUAAUGUUUGGAUCCCAUGAAAGCUCCUGAGU